rnacentral:rRNA from 1 species
GACGAACGCUGGCGGCGUGCCUAAUACAUGCAAGUCGGGCGGUGAAGGUUGGUACUUGUACCGACUGAAUGAGCAGCGAACGGGUGAGUCACGCGUGGGGACUCUGCCUUUGAGCGGGGUACCACGUUAGGAAACGAAUUCUAAUACCGCAUCAAAACUUUAAACACAGGGUUUAUGGGUGAAAGCUGUAAUUGCUGAACUCAAAGAUGAUCACUCGUUGUGUUAGCUAGUUGGUGAGGUAAAGGCUCACCAAGGCGAUGAUACAUAGCCGAGCUGAGCGGGGGGGUGGCCAACUUGGGACUGAGACACGGCUCAAACUCCUACGGGAGGCAGCAGGAGGGAAUCUUCGGCCAUGGACGGAAGUCUUACCGAACAACGCCGCGGGAGGGAAGAACGUUUUCGGAUCGUUAAACUCUGUUGAUAGGGGAGAACGUGGGUUAGAGUGGAAAGCUCAUCAAGUGACGGUAACUACACAGAAAGCAACGGCUAACUACGUG